rnacentral:rRNA from 1 species
GACGAACGCUGGCGGCGUGCUUAACACAUGCAAGUCGAACGGAAAGGCCCUGCUUUUGUGGGGUGCUCGAGUGGCGAACGGGUGAGUAACACGUGAGUAACCUGCCCUUGACUUUGGGAUAACUUCAGGAAACUGGGGCUAAUACCGGAUAGGAGCUCCUGCUGCAUGGUGGGGGUUGGAAAGUUUCGGCGGUUGGGGAUGGACUGGCGGCUUAUCAGCUUGUUGGUGGGGUAGUGGCUUACCAAGGCUUUGACGGGUAGCCGGCCUGAGAGGGUGACCGGCCACAUGGGGACUGAGAUACGGCGCAGACGGCUACGGGAGGCAGCAGUGGGGAAUAUGGCACAGUGGGCGGGAGCCUGAUGCGGCAACGCCGCGUGCGGGAUGACGGCCUUCGGGUUGUAAACCGCUUUCGCCUGUGACGAAGCGUGAGUGACGGUAAUGGGUAAAGAAGCACCGGCUAACUACGUG